rnacentral:lncRNA from 1 species
AAUAUUAUGCAGAUGGUAUUGUUUAUUUAUGUUUUAUGUGAUUACCAUUUUUAGAAUAAAGCAAAAGAUAAAAACAAACAUCAUAGAUAUGGAUGAAUAGAAUUAAUUUUAUUGAUGAUCAAUUUUGAAAAUGCCUAAACAAUGUUCACUUCUCCCUUAGGCAUAGGAGAAGGAUUUUAAAACAUGUAAAAACAAUUACUUAGAUUGAUGCAAAAUAACAGGAAUAUCAACAACAGUCCAAUUGUUGCAAG